rnacentral:rRNA from 1 species
GGAUCCAGACUUUGAUUCUGGCUCAGGACGAACGCUGGCGGCGCGCCUAACACAUGCAAGUCGAGCGGGAAGCUUUUUAAGGAUUCUUCGGAUGAAUUAAAAAGUGGAGAGCGGCGGACGGGUGAGUAACGCGUGAGAAACCUGCCCUAUACAGGGGGAUAGCCAUUGGAAACGAUGAUUAAUACCCCAUAUGACCACGGUAUCGCAUGAUACAGCGGUGAAAACUCCGGUGGUAUAGGAUGGUCUCGCGUCUGAUUAGCUAGUUGGUGGGGUAACGGCCUACCAAGGCGACGAUCAGUAGCCGGCCUGAGAGGGUGACCGGCCACACUGGAACUGAGACACGGUCCAGACUCCUACGGGAGGCAGCAGUGGGGAAUAUUGCACAAUGGGCGAAAGCCUGAUGCAGCGACGCCGCGUGAACGAUGAAGGCUUUCGAGUCGUAAAGUUCUGUUCUUGGGGAAGAUAACGACGGUACCCAAGGAGAAAGCACCGGCUAAACACGUGCCAGCAGCCGCGG